GCGGGCGUGGUGCACGGUGCACGGCUGUCCUUGAUAAAUGGGUAGCCUAAUAUUGUCUUGAAACAAGCGCAUCCGGGUUCGACCCCCGGCGCCCGCA